rnacentral:misc_RNA from 1 species
GAUCAUUACCGAGUUAUACAACUCAUCAACCCUGUGAACAUACCUAAAACGUUGCUUCGGCGGGAACAGACGGCCCUGUAACAACGGGCCGCCCCCGCCAGAGGACCCCUAACUCUGUUUUUAUAAUGUUUUUCUGAGUAAACAAGCAAAUAAAUUAAAACUUUCAACAACGGAUCUCUUGGCUCUGGCAUCGAUGAAGAACGCAGCGAAAUGCGAUAAGUAAUGUGAAUUGCAGAAUUCAGUGAAUCAUCGAAUCUUUGAACGCACAUUGCGCCCGCCAGUAUUCUGGCGGGCAUGCCUGUUCGAGCGUCAUUACAACCCUCAGGCCCCCGGGCCUGGCGUUGGGGAUCGGCGGAAGCCCCCUGUGGGCACACGCCGUCCCUCAAAUACAGUGGCGGUCCCGCCGCAGCUUCCAUUGCGUAGUAGCUAACACCUCGCAACUGGAGAGCGGCGCGGCCAUGCCGUAAAACACCCAACUUCUGAAUGUUGACCUCGAAUCAGGUAGGAAUACCCGCUGAACUUAAGCAUAUCAAUA